CUUCAACGAGCCCAGCCACAGCGGCCGUUCGCGCUGCUGCCCGUAGGUGGCGAGGAGGGCCUGGGCCUC
rnacentral:antisense_RNA from 1 species